rnacentral:rRNA from 1 species
CUACGGGUGGCACCAGUGGGGAAUAUUGGACAAUGGGGGAGACCCUGAUCCAGCAAUGCCGCGUGUGUGAAGAAGGCCUGCGGGUUGUAAAGCACUUUCGGUUGGGAGGACUGCUUCUAGCACUAAUAUUGUUGGAAGUUGACGUUACCUUCAGAAGAAGCACCGGCUAACUCCGUGCCAGCAGCCGCGGUAAUACGGAGGGUGCACGCGUUAAUCGGAAUUACUGGGCGUAAAGCGCGCGUAGGCGGCUAGAUCAGUCGGGUGUGAAAGCCCCGGGCUUAACCUGGGAACUGCAUCCGAUACUGUCUAGCUUGAGUACAGGAGAGGAGAGUGGAAUUCCACAUGUAGCGGUGAAAUGCGUAGAUAUGUGGUGGAACACCAAUGGCGAAGGCAGCUCUCUGGCCUGAUACUGACGCUGAGGUGCGAAAGCGUGGGGAGCAAACAGGAUUAGAUACCCCGGUAGUC